rnacentral:ncRNA from 1 species
GGUAGUAGCAAAUAUUCGAACGAGAGCUUUGAAGGCCAAAGUGGAGAAGGGUUCCAUGUGAACAGCAGUUGAACGUGGGUCAGUCGGUCCUAAGAGAUGGGCGGACGACGUUCGGAAGGGCGGGGCGAUGGCCUACGUUACCCCCGGCAGAUCGAAAGGGAGCUGGGUUCAGAUUCCCGGACCUGGAGUGGCGGAGACGGGCGCCGCGAGGCGCCCAGUGCGGCGACGCAAACGAUUCCGGUGAAGGUGGCGGGAGCCCCGGGAAGAGUUCUCUUUUCUUUGUGAAGGGCAGGGCGCCCUGGAACGGAUUAAUCCAGUGUGCAGUUACACCUAGAAAGCUUUUAUUGUAAGCAGUCCAGAUGUCUUCUGUGGUAGAGACAUGUUGUAAACCCUCAAAUGUUUUUUUUAGCUCGACCUGCAUUUCCGCACAUUCUCUGUCU